CACGCUGUCAACGAUGAGAACUAGCCGUUGGGAGAUUAACUUCUCUUAGUGGCGAAGCUAACGCGUUAAGUUCUCCGCCUGGGGANCAACGCGAAGAACCUUACCUACUCUUGACAUCCUGGGAAUCCUUUAGAGAUAGAGGAGUGCCUUCGGGAACCCAGAGACAGGUGC
rnacentral:rRNA from 1 species